rnacentral:rRNA from 1 species
GACGAACGCUGGCGGCGUGCUUAACACAUGCAAGUCGAACGGAAAGGCCCUGCUUGCAGGGUACUCGAGUGGCGAACGGGUGAGUAACACGUGGGCGAUCUGCCCUGCACUUCGGGAUAAGCUUGGGAAACUGGGUCUAAUACCGGAUAGGAACCAUCUUUAGUGUGGUGGUUGGAAAGUUUUUUCGGUGUAGGAUGAGCUCGCGGCCUAUCAGCUUGUUGGUGGGGUAAUGGCCUACCAAGGCGGCGACGGGUAGCCGGCCUGAGAGGGUGUACGGCCACAUUGGGACUGAGAUACGGCCCAGACUCCUACGGGAGGCAGCAGUGGGGAAUAUUGCACAAUGGGCGCAAGCCUGAUGCAGCGACGCCGCGUGGGGGAUGAAGGCCUUCGGGUUGUAAACUCCUUUCGCUAGGGACGAAGCUUUUUGUGACGGUACCUAGAUAAGAAGCACCGGCUAACUACGUG